rnacentral:rRNA from 1 species
AUUGAACGCUGGCGGCAGGCCUAACACAUGCAAGUCGAGCGAGCGGUGGACGGGUGAGUAAUGCCUGGGAAUUGCCCAGUCGAAGGGGAUAACAGUUGGAAACGACUGCUAAUACCGCAUACGAUUGGAUUGCGCAGGUGGGGUUAGCUAGUGGGUGAUGUAACGGGUCACCAAGGCGACGAUCCCCAGCUGGUCUGAGAGGAUGAUCAGCCAAACUGGAACUGAGACACGGUCCAGACUCCUAUGGGAGGCAGCAGUGGGGAAUAUUGCACAAUGGGGGAAAGCCUGAUGCAGCCAUGCCGCGUGUGUUAAGAAGGCCGUCGGGUUGUAAAGCACUUUCAGCGAGGAGGCGUUACUCGCAGAAGAAGCACCGGCUAACUCCGUGCCAGCAGCCGCGGUAAUAA